UGGGGAAUAUUGGACAAUGGGCGAAAGCCUGAUCCAGCAAUGCCGCGUGUGUGAAGAAGGCCUUCGGGUUGUAAAGCACUUUUGUCCGGAAAGAAAUCCUUGGCUCUAAUACAGUCGGGGGAUGACGGUACCGGAAGAAUAAGCACCGGCUAACUACGUGCCAGCAGCCGCGGUAAUACGUAGGGUGCAAGCGUUAAUCGGAAUUACUGGGCGUAAAGCGUGCGCAGGCGGUUUGCUAAGACCGAUGUGAAAUCCCCGGGCUCAACCUGGGAACUGCAUUGGUGACUGGCAGGCUAGAGUAUGGCAGAGGGGGGUAGAAUUCCACGUNUAGCAGUGAAAUGCGUAGAGAUGUGGAGGAAUACCGAUGGCGAAGGCAGCCCCCUGGGCCAAUACUGACGCUCAUGCACGAAAGCGUGGGGAGCAAACAGGAUUAGAUACCCUGGUAGUCCACGCCCUAAACGAUGUCAACUAGUUGUUGGGGAUUCAUUUCCUUAGUAACGUAGCUAACGCGUGAAGUUGACCGCCUGGGGAGUACGGUCGCAAGAUUAAAACUUAAAUGAAUUGACGGGGUCAUAGCUG
rnacentral:rRNA from 1 species